rnacentral:lncRNA from 1 species
UGACAAUCGCUGGGCUUCUAAAGAAAUUUGGGCUUAACUAAUUUAACUCUUUUUAUUCUUCUGUUUUUAAUUUUAUUGCAACCCAUUUAUUUAUGUUUCGACAAUUAAGUUCUUUUUUUUUUCUAAAAAACACCUUAUCGUCGUAGGCUAAAUAAGCCAAAUAUGUCGUCUUUUUUUCUUAAUUCGCCUUUUAGGCCCUCUUUUUUUAAAAUUAUGAAAAUAGAUUGAUUUUAGAGAGUGUACACACUCUCUCUCCAAGAUUUUUUUUAAUUUUGUUAGGGUUAGGGUUAAAAUAUUUUUAGAAAUUAAGAUUUAAGGUUUUAGGAGUGAAAUCAUGAAAGUUUAUAGGUAGAUUUAUGGGGUCAGGGAUGCGAUAACACGUUUCAGAACAUAUACAUUUCAUAACUCAUGCCGGGAUAGGACCAUUACCUCAGAAACUCAUCUUAUGAAAGUUAGGUUUCGGAGUGAUAGUACUUGAUAAAGUCAUGAGUCGAAGUCUCUUGAUCCAUUUGGAUAAAGAUUGGACAGUGAUCCGAUAUUGAAUGAGGUAAGUGGCGGAUUAAAAUACUUUGGAACAAGUUCAUCCAAUCACAAUUAGCAACUCCCCUAUCAAGCCGCUCCCUAAUAUUCGUUUCAGGCAAAUUACCCCGUUCCCACGUAAACUAUGGACCCGAAUAUCCAAUAUCCAUUAACUGACAUUCCUCAAGCACAUUCCGAAAAUCCAACAUUAUUCUUUCUUCCCUCGGCGUACCACCCACCUUUUCAUAAGAGUACAAAAUUUCGUUAAAGUCGCCACAAACAAGCUAAGGCAAAAACUUGAUUUCUCCUUAGACUUUUCAACAACUCCUAUGUAUAUUCCCUAUGACUUGCAUCCGGUGCCCCAUAAAACCCAGUCAAUCUCCACAUUAGACCAACUUCAUCUUCUUGAAUUUCCACAUCAAUGUGGUUCUUUGAAUAAUUUCGGAUUUGGACCAUAAGAUUUUUCUUCCAAGCCAGACACAAACCUCCCCUAGUUCCUUCUGCUUUAACUUUUAAUCCAUUGCAGAAACCACACCUCCUCCAAACCCGCUCCAUCCUAAUCUCAUUCAAUUUGGUCUCCAUACAGAAGACCAGUGGGGAUUAUAAAUCUUUAGCAUGUGUCGAAGUAUCCGCUCAGCCCGUGGACUCCCCAACCCACGGACAUUCGAACUUAUAAGUUUCAUUGCUUCCAAUCAGCUUGCCCCUUGGCAGUCGCCGAUACAGAUUGAAUCAGAACAUUAUCGUGCUCUUUGAAUAAUGUUAAUGAAUUCUUAGAAUUAGAAACGUUAACAUUCACAGCCUCCUAUCUAGGCCUCUUUUUUCCGUCUCCACCCCCAGUUGGAAUUUUCUCACUAUUGUGAUCUAUAGUUACAAGAUCCAGGCCACUAAAAGAUUCGCCUAUAAUUUCUAGCAAGAAUCAAUUAUGAGCUAAUUCGACCUUUCUUCACUAAUCACUCGGGUGCUCUUUUGUGAGAAACCUUCAUAAUGUUCCUACCUAACCCUCGAUGUUCAUGGCCUGACAUCCAUUCGAUAGUGCAUUAAAAAGUUCAAAGACUGGGAAGGGUUGAGUUUCGAAUUCAAUUUUGGCUUAAGGUUUCAAACAUAAAGGUUGAUUAAGAAAGGUAAUGUAAAGCUCAAAUUCAGGAAGUAGGGAUAAUGUAAUGUUUAAGGUUGGUCCUUUAGGCUCAAGGCUAUACAAACAAUGCCUAAGGUCUUUCCCGGAUUAGUCACCUACCAACGAUCUAUUAAGCAUGCAUCUAUUUAAACUAACAAUUAGCAAUUUAAAUUAUUUAUCUACAAGGAUUCAUAUAUUGUAUUCAUCCUACUAUACAUUUUAUAUAUUUUCAUUUCGGUUAUUGCCUCUAAUCUAUUAUACCUAUUAACUAAGUGAACUAAUUAAUCUACAAUUAAGAGCAAGAAAUUAUCUAGUAUCAUUCAAAAUUUACAAGUUUGGCAAUCUUAUAUAUGCCUUUGAUAUGUACAACUACUAACUUAUUACUCAAUUACAGUCCAAGCACCGUGCAAUAACACAAAUUAAAAAUGAAAGCAAGAAAUAUUUUUGGAUAUUUGAAAAUUAAAAAAAAAAAGAAAACUUUUUUGAAUUUUUUGAUUUUUUUUUGAAAAAUGCAUAAAAACUAAAAUAAACUCACAAAUAAGCAUAAAACAAGAAAACAUAAACACACAUAAAAACUUAUAUGCACUCAUCCACACUCAGACUACACAUUGUCCCCAAUGCGUUCAAAAGAAAGGAUAGGAGGUUACUGAACUUCCCUAGAAUGGAACAUCAGACUAGCUCAGGCGUCCACCUCCUCGUUGAAGCUCCAUAUGUAUUGUAGUCUUUUAGGGUAGCUCGAUGUAUAUAAGAAAAACAAACAACAAACAAUUACAACACGUAAAAUAAAAAUGUUCGAAGACAAAAAUUAAAGUGUUUAAAGUUUUAUAAGCCGCAUAAAAUAAAAAAAUACAAAGACAUAUAACUAAGCGGAAUCAUCUGAGAUUAACUCUGGUUCCAUGGGUUGUUUCCCCUUACCUCUUGUGCUUGAAGGUUUGUAACCCUUGUUUGAUUUUUCUCAUGGUUUUUCUAAAUUGAUCCCUCGUCUAGGUGUGGAUACGAAUGUUGUAUUCAUCGUGUUUUGAUCUCUGUUGGGUUUGUCAUUCCUUCCACACCUUUCUUGAACCAUGUAUCUUUUUGGUUUUUUUUUGCCACAUUGGUUUUCCUUCCCCAUGAUUACUAUCACAUUUCUCUACAUAUGUUUUCAUCAUCUUAAUUGUUCAGGAGUUGUAACCUCUUGAUUCAACAAGCUUAUCUAGUUGUUUUUGAAUAUUUUCCAGCAUACCUUCUAUUUUUUACUUUGUUGGGGUCAAUUGAGUCUGCUCUCCUUUCGACCCAUGUCCUCAAGUUCGUUGCUCUUGCUGGAUUGCUUUAAAUUUCUGAUAGAUUGAACUCGUUAUCAUAUGCGUAGUCGGUUGACGAAACGGUUUGAGUGGAUCUAUGGGUACUCUCGCGGCUCGGCAUAGAUCUGUGAUCAAAUGCGGAAAGAAAAUCCCCGUAUCGUCUCUGAUUACACAACGUAACAUGAACUUGUAGAUCCAUGUACCUAUAGAAAUUUGUUUCCUCUGUAAAAUAGCUGUUAGCAAAAUGGCUUGAAAGGGGUUAACAAUCCUAGAGCUAGAAGUGGGGCAAACUUUCAUACGGAGAAAAUGUAGCCAUAUUUUAUCUAAUGUGGUAAACAAAAUUGGGUUGAAAGAAAUGGGAAGAUUUGUAUAGACCUCCCUCUCUUAUUCCCCUUUACCUUCUGUGAGAUAAAGCAUUAUAUAGUCCACAUUCACACCCUUAAAAUUUCUAGUAUCAAGUAAUUCAAUCUCAUUGUUUGCUAAAAAAAGAACUCUAUAAUACUUAGAGAUUAUGGACGAGGAGAUUUCAACCUCUCUUCCCCUAACAUACACUUUAUCCUCCUCGAAAAAUUUUAAAUUGGCAUAAAAUUCAUGAACCACAGAAGGCACUACAGGCCUAUGAGGUCGAAGGCUGAAUUCCCUCAAUUCAUAGAGAUCUACAAUAUCCCAGAACUCAUUUUCAAAAAUGACAUCCGGAUCGAACCCACAUUCAUAGAUAAACGAUCGUCCAUGAAGUUUAUGAAAGAAACCUUCAGCAUUUGAGGACACAAAUUUUUGAAUAUUGUGUGUGAUCUCAUUCGAUGUAUCGAAAGAUUCUAUUGUGUUUAGCCCUCUUGAAUAUGAAACGAAAACAAUUUAUGCUAUGAAAGUAGAAUAAGGAGGGUGUAUUAGGAACUUUUACAAUGCAAUAGGCAAGUAUGGGACACCCAGAGUAGCGAGAUGCAACGUUGUUGUCUCUUGAAGGGAAACACCACCUCUUGUCGCGACUAUUCUAGAGUAUAAAUCUGUAGUAAAGAGUUAAAAUAAGAAGGUAAAUCAUAAGAGAAGGUUCAAACCCUAGGUUGAGUUUGAAAGAAGCCUUUGAGAGCCCUUUUAAGAGAAAAGAGUUGAAAGGGUAAUGUAACAAAUGAAUAUAGUGUUAAGUGGGAUGAUUUAGGGUUUUUGAAGAGUAAGGAGGUUUAAAAACACGUAGGUCACACGAAUAUGACAUAUUUUAUAGUGACCCGGUAUAGGUAUUGUGAUAUCCAAGAUUGGGUAUCGCAAUACCAAGAAAAUUUUCAAAAAUCCUCGUUUUUCUAACUGUCAGCGGUAUCACAAUAUCUUAUGUUGGGUAUCACGAUUCCACUGUCUUCCUAUUUCUAUAUCGAGUUUUUUCGAUUUUUUUAAAGUUCAAGAGAAUUAGGGUAAAUCCUGAGUCUAAACACAGAUGAUUUACAAAACAAGAAUUAAAUUCAUAAGUGUAUAGUUAAAACACUAAUUUCUAGACUCUCCGUCAUUCCACUAAAAUAAAAUUUCCACAAAGUCUGGGAAACCUUAAUCCUUUGUUUGUUCGUUAAUCGAUUAAUUGAAGAAUUUUUCAUCAGUUUCAAAAUUUAAUCUUGCCUCGCCUUUGGCUAUUUCCCAAUAUUCCUUCCGAGCCCUUUUUCCUUUAACUCCAUCUCACUCUUUUGCAUUUCUGGAAGGGUAUUUAAAGGUGGAAUCACAAACUCAAAUUUUAUUGAGUUCCCUUUCCUCUAAUGAACAUCUCCUAGUGGAUACUUGUCUUUGAUUGGUUCAUGGUGAGGGCUUUUUUCUAUGAUUUUCGAAAAGUGUGAUGGCUCUUUCAUAUUUACCUCUACAAAGUCACAAAUUUCCCUGUUAUGUGCACAUCUUCACUAGGUUUUCCAAUUUUCACUUGGUGUUGGGAAUUAACCCUCAUGGUGUUGAGGGCUUUCUUCUCUACGUCAAUAGUAUAUGGUUUAACACUGUUGUACACGGAGUUUUUUCCACCUGGCUUGGUAUUGUAAGAGUUUAAGUAUUUGGCCCAGCUAACUCUUAAUAACUUUCAUAUUUUCCUGGUACUCAGACAUUCUAUCCUCGAAGGUUUCAUCUACAUCGGGCAUUUUACAAUCUUCAUUUGGUUCUUUUAGAUGUGUCUCCUCCUCUUGUUUGUUGCUAGCCACCAGAUACAAGUAAGCAUACCAAUCAUAGCAAGGGUCAUACCUCUGUUCUGUAAAAGGUCCGUAAUCGUCCCAGCUAAGUGUAGACUUUUCAUUUUCCUCAUAUAUCAAUGUUCCCUCAAACAACCUACCAUGGUCAUCAAACAUGACUUUAAAUUGGUCAUAAAUCAAAUGGGCUCAAGCCGUUUAUCAAAAACAGAAAGAGGAAGGGUUAUAUCUAGAAAUCCUACUUUGGCUACUUAUCUUUACUUAAAAGUGUACAUUAAAAAUUACUCAAUCUUACACAGUCUUCCCCAGCAAUGGCGCCAACAACUUGAUCGGUUGCACGCAUGCGUAUUAAAAAAAUAAUUUUUGAAACUAUUUUUAAAGCUUGAUUUUACUGCAAGCAUAAGGUCAGUUGUAAUAUUUAUAGUGUUAUAAUGGAACACCGAAAUAUUCGAAGGAUCGAACCCAAAGGAAGAGGUGAUUGAGAAAUAACUAACAUACACAAUAGAGUCUAAGCGGCUACUCAUACGAUUUUAUAGUACGAUAAUUCAUAAAAAGAUGAGUGUGUAAAAAAUUAAAUAUAUUACUUUAAGGACUAAAUUGCAAGAAAUAUAAACUAGAGGGACUACCCAGAAAAUAACUAAUGGGGUUGGCUGACUUCAGUGUGGUUUACCAAAUCUCAGACUAGGAUAUAAAUCACAUAAAUUACCAAAUGGCUCCAUUUUAUCUUUCGAUCUCAAUUUAUUGACUUAGACAAAUUAUGUUCGAUUUAUCUUUUGAUCUCACCAGUUAAUUCAGAACUAACGAACGAGUGCGCGACAAGAUUACCUUUCGGUCUCACUUUAUCUCGAUAUUCCCUUAUAGGGCGUCACUACCUAAGUUCUUAGUUCUAUUCAAAUUAGUCAAAUUUGCUACGAUUUAACCCUUUGUCCAAAGAUUUUAGUUUAUUCCCAUGUCCAUCAACCAACCUCUUUAAAGGUUUAGCUACACAUUCUUAAAGUAAGGAAAGUAAACAUAAAGAUGGAAAAUAAGGCAGCCAUGAAAGUAAAGGUUGACAAAAAUAUAAAAGUUAAUAUUUUUAUGUAAGAAAACUUAAAUAGCAUGAAACCAAAAGCAUUUAACAGAGAAAUCUAAAGCAAGAAACAUAAAAGGAACAAGUUUUGACAGAUUUAAACUAAAAUAAACUGAAAUACAUAAAAUUGAAGUUUAAAGAGUCUUAUAAGCAAAGUACAUGGGUUAGAAAUAUAAACAAUUCUUAGCUAUAGUGUUAACUAACUUAAGUAACAUAAAGAACAACAAGAACAAUAAGUAAAUGCAGAAAAAUGAACUCCAAUCUAAGAUAGAAGAAGAGAAAAAUAAAAACCCUAGAAAAGUGUAAAGAAAACUAAACCUAAAGCUAAGCUAAUGUGUGCCUCCUUCUUUUUCAAUAAUUUUUGGUUGUUUUAAAGUGUGUUUUUAUAACUUUUUGAUGCCAAAAAUGCCCUUACACGGACCUUGUCUGAUUAGUAGGCCGGGUAGACAAAGGCUACAGUUUUUGUCGACAAAGGCGAUAUCGCGAUACCCAGAGAGGAUAUUGCAAUAUCUCGAGCAGUAUUAAAACUUGGGGCCUUCCUUGAGAGGUGGAUAUCGUGAUACCCAAGGGGUAUCACGAUUCACUAAAAAGACUCCUUGGUCUUCUACACUGUCGGAUAUAUCACGAUUCUAGGGGUUAGAUAUCACAAUACCCUUGUCUUAGAUGUCAUUCUUAUUCAUUUUCGACCUCUAAAUCAUCCUUACAGUACUCAAACACACAUUAGACCUCUCAAUGGCACUAUCGGCCAAUUUUGGUAAAAAAAAACAAAAUUGAGACAUUUUCACUUAUUACCUGAAAAUAUGAAAAUAACAAAAAGCUAUGCUAAAAACUAUGUUUUGCUCAAGAAAAAGCUCCUCAAGUGCGUUGGAAAAGCCUAAUUUUCCACAUCGAUUUGUGGUAGAUCAAUAGCUACAAUGGUAGAUUGCCUAUUUAGAAAUACAUAUACAUACUUUCUUUCAAGAACCGUCCCUUAAGACUCAUUCAAUUUCAUCACAAGACUAACCAAACCAAGUUAACUUCUGAUGUAUCAAAUCCUUAUCAUAGAAUUAUCUAUCAAAGAGAUCUCAGGACUUACCACAAAGGCAGAUAAACCAAAUUCUGUCACGUAGGCAUCCCUAAAUAUGCCACAUAGGCGUUUCAUAAUUUGCCACAAAUGCAACAAAAAAUACGCCACUAAGGCUUAGCAGAUCACGCCACAUAGGCAACACACGUUAAUCACGUGUUUACUGUCUCGGUGGACUUUUACAAAAUGUGUCAUAGGUUUCUCCCUCAUGGACUUAUACAUAUCUUCAUGUUGUGAUCUUCUAGUUCGAUCUACAUAUCAUAAAAGGCAUCACUAUGAGUAUUCUUAUUAUCAUAUUAUAUCUUGGGUCUCAACUAUAUGGGCUUACAUAUCCUCAUGCCGCGUGAUCUAUCAGUCCAGUCUUCAUCUCACCGGAGGCAACACCAUAAGUGUAUUCGUUGUCAUAUAAUGUAAUGGGUCUCUACCACAUGAUUUUACGCAUAUCUUUAUAUCAUGAUCUGCUAGUCUGGUUAGUAAUAUAAUUGCCCUACCAGAGGUAUCACAAAGGGAUGUUUUACUCAGAAGUUACUUACCCAGAUUUAUUCACAUACUUGACUGAUUCUUACUUUCUCAUAUAAGAUCUCACAGACAUACUUACCGUUUAACUUCUUACUCAAGUAGUACCUCACACAAAAUCGUCCUUAAUCAUAUAGGUUCUUUACAUUACUUCGCUUAAACACAUACAAAUUGUUCGAUAUGUUAUCUGUUUGGAAAUUUGUCUAUAUUGUAGUAAACAUGUAACUAUUUUCUAUUUAUUUGAACGAUGAAUAAAUAAAUAAAGUUAAUUUCACAUUUCACUAUUAUGUCUUUUGUAUUUAUGUCUUUUAUAUUUUGCAUGCAUAGCGAAAUUGUGACAAACAAAUAUUAGCUCAUUGAUUGUCUAGAGUUCAAAAUGAAUAAAUGGCAUUGUAAAGAACGUUUACAUUGCAAGAAAGAUAACUUACUUCAGUAGAUAAUCUAAAUGAGCCCGUAAUCCCGUAAGAGAAUCAAAGUGAGUAUUUGAUUCAAAUACUAAGAAAGAUUAUUAUGUUGUUUACAGUUCCAAUUGGGGAGAUGGCUAGUUUUCAGAGCAGUUGACUUUACAAGUAGAGACAUAGAUGUAUUCAUUGGUAGAAUGAUACAUUGGACUGAACCCAAGAUGAAUUAAUUCUUAAUCCGUUUGUAAAUUAAUUCACUUGUGACAUUUAUGGUGUGAUUUACCUAAAUCCUAAGUUAGUCAUUGACCAUGCGUAUGCAACUCAUGUGCUUUGAUAUAAGUGGAGGCUUGCUGUAAAGAUGAUUGAUCCCGUAGCCGGUAACUUGGGUACAUGACUUGUGUAUGGCAUGACUUUACUAGCAACAGUGGAAUUCAUAGUUUAAUUAAAGAGUCAAUGAUAUCCUCUCAUUGACAUUAUGUGGAUUGAUAAAUAUGGAAUGUGGCUACGGGUUGCUUAUUCUCGAACGAGCAAUUUAUCACAUUCAUUUGUUGACAGUGAUCAUAUUAAUCAUUAAGAAAACAUAAUGCUGACAAUAUGAUAAAAUAUGAUUGUAUUGAGUGAAUAGAUUUAACUCAAAGAAAUCAAGGAUAUCAUAUGAGGGUAACACACAUAUGAUGAGGUCAUUGGACAAAGCAUUUGGAUGAAUUGCUUUUGUAAAGAGUAUACAAUAAGGAGUUUUAAUCAUGGUACUUCUUGUGUACUGACUUCAUAAUUAAGUAAUUGUGAAUGAUCGGAACGAUGCUUUUGAACAUAAUUGCAAUCACUAGAGUCUAAUUAUAUAUGUCUGAUUGGUCCCUUCGCUAGCUCAACAAAAGCUCGACCGGAUUAUAUUUGAAUCAGAAAAAAAAUUAUAUGACUUUGGGAAUAAUUUAACUGAGUCGAUUUUUUUGAUGUGGAAUUAAAUUAGGUGGUAGUAAGAAUUAUUCAACUAGUGAAUUUGAUUAAAGAAUUUUGUUGAAAAAUUAAUUUGGAAAAAUUAAUUUUGAUCAAGUAAAAUUAAAUGAAUCAAAUCAAUUAAAAUUAAUAUGAUAUUUUUGGAAGUUAAUUUUCAAGUUAGACAAUUGGCUCAAUGGGUAAUUGAACUUGAAAGUUGGACCUGAGAUCGUAAAUUGGGUCUGGGAGCCCAAAACUGAGAUCAAAACCCAAAAAUUGGUCGAACCAAGCCUGAUAUGUGAAAUCGGUCUGACAGUCUAACCGGUGGCUAGACCGGACCGGUCAGGUCGUUAUUGACCCGGACCGAACCGACUCGAGGUGCCGUAAGGGUGUCGCACCUGCACCACCGAACACAGUGGUGCCGGUGGCUGUGAUGGCGGCAUCCUGGUGGCUAGCGGUGGUUGGUAUUUGGUGGUUGAGGAGUGGAAGAGUUACACUCCUACUUAGACUCUACCAGAGAAUUUGAUUUCAGAUUAACUAUUCCAAAAAUAAUAAUAUUUUAGUAGUUUAAUAUUAAUUUAAAUUUAAUCUUAUCUUAAUAGUAUUUUAUUAAUUUAAUAUUAAAAUAAUUAUAUUAAUAUUAAAUUUAAUUUAAUGUUUAUCUAUAAGAUAAACAUUAUAUUAUUUUAAUAAGAUUUAAUAUUAAAUUUAAUCUGAUAUUUAUAUUGAUAAAUAUUAUAUUAAUUUAAUAUUAAAGUAAUUAAGUUUAAUUAUAGUUGAACUCUCUAAACUUGGGUCAUUAUUUACACACACUUGAAUUCAAGAGGAAGUUGUAGAGAGAAAAUUCUCUGAAGAGAUUAUUCUAGAAAAUUUCUAAAGAUAUUUUUUUUUAUUUACAACUUGACUCAAAAGUUUAGAGAAAUUACAAAAUUACCCCACUGGUAAUUUUUGUGAAAUUUUUUUUUAUUCGAAGCGAGCACACACUCUGCAAACGUGAGCUUGAAGAUAGCGGAGAAGACUACUUGGUCGAAAUGCUCAUCCUAGAUGAAUCGAAAAGGUACAAUUUUGAUUAAUUGUUUAUUACUUUAGAUAUCACAACCGAUAUCUUGUUUUCGAAAAUUUUUAAACUAUAGUUUUUCCCUAAAUUUAUUUUCCACUGCAUUUUCUAAACCCGUUUUUCCAACAUUAUCAGCAUACAUAUCUCUAAUUGAAUAGUUCACAUGCAAGAGCCAAGAUAGAGAGUCAUCUGAUACUCGCAUAGACUACAGCUUGGAGUUCUAAACUCGAACAUCUCUCUUGAACCAGCAGUAGCAACUGCUUAAAGAACAUGGAACCAUCAUUAAAACCCAUUUAUAGACAAAUUUCUAACAUCUCAAUUACAGACAACCCCCAUGCAGGGCUUCUUAUUCAUAACUUACUGUUCAUGCUUCUUAAUAUCCUUAUUAUUUCAAAAACUUAACAUGCAGAGUUAUCAGACUUAUUAGGAGGUGGAACAUCCACCGAUUAAUGCAAAAACCUUAGCUUCUAGCUUUAUAAAGGAGAAGAAAACAUAUAAGUUUAAGAAGAAAACCAGAGUAAUAUUGAAGGAAAAAAAAAUCCCCCAGAAAAACUCGUCUCACCAUAUAUAUACACCUAGUUCCCCCUAAUGGAACUUGACAAGUGUCGAUUGUAUCCAGAAUUUGUCCUAAUAAAUGGCUACAAAAUCUGGGAGAAAUAUAAAUGGGAAUCCUAUACAAAUAUUAUUUGACCAAUCAGUUCAGUUGGCUCCUGACCAAGUCACGUUACAACACCCAAUUAACACAGUGCUCAGGCAAACCGGGUGUACUAUACUUUUGGCGGUAACUCUCACUAGGCUUCCUCUUCGCUUGUCAUAUUCUGUUCUUAAAUAGCAAAAUAACCUGAGAUAAAAUCUUUAAUUACUUCCACAACAGAUACUUUAAACUAAACUUUAAUCUGCCAGAAGAUUGCUAAUAGGCGAACUACACUACGUCAAACAGAUAACUUCACAUGUACACGUCUUCUAAUCGAAUCCUCCAAACUUGGGGUGUGAUAGAAAAUGUGUGUCUCGGGUCUCCAUCUUUCCACCAAUGCGCUGAUGAGUGUAGGAUUGAGUUUGCAGCUCCCGAGCAUAUGCAAGAAUCACACGUCUUGUAAGUAAUCACGAAUUUCGGUGUCUAGACUCUUUGACAAAUUAUGUAUGAACCUUGCAAAAUACGAUUAUCCACCUAUUUAUAUCAAUGAAAAAAAAUAAUUUAAAAAUAAAAAAUUUAAAUUUAACUUAAUUGAAAAUAAAAAAAAAAUUAAAUUUUUUCGUUACCAUUAUUGCUUAAGUAGCGAAAAUGUGCUUGUAGUCAAAACAAAUUAGAGAGCUUGCCAUUUGUAAAAUUUUAAUAGAAAUGAAUAUACGAAAUAAUUAAAUAAAACUAUAGUAUUUUUAAACAAAGUGUAUAGAAAAUUUUUGAACAAAAAUUGAGAGAAUUGAGAGUUUAGAGAGAAUAGAGAAAGUUGGAUUUGAGUGAAAAGAAUGAAAAAUGACAUGGUAUUUAUAGGAAAAAAAAUUCCCAUUGGCUCUUUUAAAUAAUUUUACCGUUGCCAACGUUUAGAAAGCCGUUGGGGGAAAACGACUGUUGGAGGAAAGCGCGUCCAGCUGGUCGUGCUUUCUGCAUAGGUAACAGGAAAGCGCGUCUUGUUUUCACACACUCUCUCUAAAAUUGACCUAUUUCCCUAAUUUUUUUUUAAAAAAAGGGCCUAAAAGGCCAAUUAAAGAAAAACGACAUAUUUGGCUAAUUUAACCUUCCCCAGAAAGAAAGUUCAUAUAUUUCAAUAUGUUAUUUAAAUAUAAAAAAAACUCAUGUUAUUUUUCAUCAAUUCAAAAAAUAAAAAUUAAACUAAGACAUUACUAAUAAUUUUUUUUUCAUUUUUUAAAAAUUAUCUUUUAUUUUUAAAAAAUACAUUUUUUAUUUCUCAAGAUAUCUAUCAGAGCGAGCCCAAUAAUUAAUCCUUCACAUUUUGUAGACCUAUUAAGGGGUAGAUGCUGGCCACAAGUUUUAAAGCUACUCUAUACCCAGGAUCGAACCCUCGGCCACUAGUUAAAAGAUACAUUUGAUAAAUAAAAAUAAAUUUUAUUAUUAAUAAUUUUUUUUGUUUUUUUAUCUAUCCUCUUGUGAGAGAGCUGACUUCUUUUCUCGCCAUUUAUGUUAUACAAAGUAAGACUUUGGUUGUCUUUUUAAAAAUAUUGAAUUCAUUAGUGCUCUUUUAAAUGCACCUCAAUGAUUGUUCAUAUUUAUCAGGAUUAUUAGUUUUUAAUCAAUUCAAUCAGUUCAAUUAUCAAUGAUUGUUCAUAUUUAUCCGUAUUAUUAAUUUUUAAUCAGUUCAAUUAUCGAUUCAACCGGUUUUUAGUUAAUUCAAUCAAUUCAUAUCAGUUUUUUAUCUAAUCAAUUUAAAAUUACUUUCAAGAUCAAUUCUCCGACCAAUUCUCAAUCCAAUGAGUUCCAAUUCGACCGAUCAGUCCAAUCCAAAUAACACUGAUUUAGAAACAGUUGGCUAACAUUCAUGAUUGCAUCCGCCGCAAACUCUGGCCUCUGCUAAUGGGAGUGGGCCACACAAGAUUAUUAUUGCUUCAAUUCGUAAAUGACUUGUUUUUCUCAACCUCAUCACUACCACCAUACAUAUACUAUUGCUAGGAAAGGCAAGAGGGGCGUCCACAUAAUUGUGUUGGCCAUGGGUUUUAAACUUUCAUGGUUAACAAGAGGGGCAGAAGCACAAAAAAUUGGAUAUGCAAAAUACUAACAGAUACCCAAACCAAAAUUUCAAGAAGCAAUCAUAAAAAAACUACGUAUAUUUGUUUACAUUUCAACUUGGCACCAAAUGCUAGAAAUGGUCCCGCUAAGCAAUAUGCAUUGAAAAACUUCUGAGUUUUCAAUAUCAAUGGCAGAAACUGCGUAAAUACUUUUACAUUUAGCAUUGAGGCUGAGACUGCUGUUUUUUACACAAGAAUUUAAUAAUCUAAGAUUUUUCACUUAAUCCAAACUCGUUUCCUUGAUACAUACACAAAAAUUAUGACAUUUAUGACCAAAAUCCGAUAACUUAUGCAACAUUACAAAUGCAGAAGUGGAAAGCAUGUAAAUUACCUCCUCAAGUGGAUUCGAGAAUAUAAGGGAUAGAUAUGCAUAUCCUUUUUUAUUUCACUUGUCCUUUGCUUUUGAACUCCUCACCAAACUAAGCCCUUUUUUCUCCUAAAUCUGUCAACACGGUCCGUGCUCAUUCGAGACUUCUCAGGCUUAUUUGACUUCUUUGACUUCUCAAGUCGGCUAUCUAAACUAUUUCUUGAAACUUCUGGAAGGUCAGCACCCAAUUCGAAUGUAUCCGAAGUUCCACCCUCCGAUGGUUUGUUGCUCCGUUUGUCAGAGUUGACCACUACUUUUUCAGAACCAUUAGCAGCAGCUGCUUUUGAUUUGUUUAAGGACAGUACAAACUUCUUCAGAUGUUUAAUGAAUUCUGGGUAGAUCUUAAGAUUGCAAUGUCCUCCUCCAUUAACCCACAACGGGUCAUACUUAUUCUUGCAAAGCUCCCAAAGCUGUUUUCCAUGAGAAUGAUGAACAACUUCAUCCGCUGUCCCCUACCAACACAAAAAAUUGAGCUUCAUCACCACUUUUAAAAUAAAAAUUCAAAAUAGACGUGUAUAACAGUUCUCCUAAAUAUCAAUAUAUUUAGGUAGCAUGAGCAAGUGAACAAAUGUCUUCACUUGUCAGAGUUAACAAUUCAAUAGACUUGGCAACCUGUGUAUGCAUGUUGUGUUCCAUGUUUAUUUCCCCAGUCAGCCAUGUAGAUACACAACAAAAAUUACCAAAUGUGUCAAAUCUUAAAAGUUAAUACAAUAUACAUAUAGAAUUUUUGUGUUAAUUGUGUUUAAAUAUGCACAAUUUCAAAGUACCACACCGCUUACCCCAAACCUGACCAUGGAGAUAAAAACAAAGAACAAUGACAAACUCCUCUUUGUUCAAAGACCCAAAAAUUGGCAUAUGCAUUUCUCUCUCUAUGCUCAAGAAGAUAAAUAUAUAUAUCUACUCUCUUAAUAAAAUCUUAAAUUCUCGAAACCUACCCAACAUAUGGCACAAUGCAAAGUACUAAAUAUUGAUUAAUUCAUUGGUACCUAAAAACAGAAAUGUAUUUCUAGUGGAUAAUACUGUCAUCUUUACUUAAUUUCACAUGAGAACCUCAAUAAUCUAGUCAUCACAGACAAAACAAUAAAUAAAAUUUAGACUGAUUGAGCUAAAAUGCAUAAGGAGGUUUAACUACUCAUUUAGAACAAGUAUCUUUUCGACAAUCUGUGACCUGUGAUAUUUUUAUAAAAUUUGAGUCUCUUCAAAUCAAUCUUUAAAGAUUUUCUUUCAUUGAUUAUCUCGGUAAACUUUUUAUGAUGGUAUUUGUUCACAUUUUGGAACAUCACAUCACAUCACAUGGGUGCAUAAUAAUGGCAACUCACCUACUGACACAACAACAAUGAUAUAAUACUAAUGUUAACAUCGCAAAUCAAGAGAGAGAGAGAGAGAGAGAGAGAGAGAGAUGACGAUGACGAUGAUGAAACAAGAUGGGGAGGAUAAAUGCCAAAACAAUAAGAACGAUACUUACAUGAAUUACCAAGACUUGGCAGUUUACUGCUCCAAUUUUGUCAAUAUUCUGAAAGGAUGGGGGAAAAACCUGGUAAUGAGGGUACACAUACAAGAUGAAACAAGAAACUAGAAAUAGGAUGAAUAGGACAGACUUACCUUAUAAAUGUCAAACCAGUAGGUCCUUUUGACAGGGUACAAUACUCUCAUGCCAGACAAAAUUGGGCUAUGUAGAACCACACCUCUCAAGUUUGGCAAACGUGAAGCAAGAUCAACAGUAGGUCCACUACCAACUGACUGACCAUAUAAUAUCAAAUCUUCAUCUUUAACUCCAUACCGUUCCUUAAGGCAUGUAUAUGCUGCAUCUAUGUCUGCAUAUGUAUUACACUCAGUUGGCUGUUUCAAAAAAAGAAAGUGAAAAUUAGAAUACAGAUCUCCAUCAAUGAGUAAAAUAUUCAUAUAUUAAAGACAAGAAAUCAGAAGUAACAUGUCUGGUAUUGAAUAUUUAUGGAUUCUGUAACACGCUGAACAUGGGAAAUAAUUGAGAAACCCCACAAAUUUAAAGAAAUUAGUGCAUAAAUUAUCGAAAUGAUUGUAAAAAUUAAAUGUUGAAAACAUAUGGACCAACAUUGACCAAUACAACCGAUAUUAUACAAAAUAAAACAAGCUGCCUUAUAGGUUUACUCUGAGAUUUUCUAGAGCUCAAAUCUUGCAAAUUAAAUGAACACUGUAUUAAUCUACUUCAUNNNNNNNNNNNNNNNNNNNNNNNNNNNNNNNNNNNNNNNNNNNNNNNNNNNNNNNNNNNNNNNNNNNNNNNNNNNNNNNNNNNNNNNNNNNNNNNNNNNNNNNNNNNNNNNNNNNNNNNNNNNNNNNNNNNNNNNNNNNNNNNNNNNNNNNNNNNNNNNNNNNNNNNNNNNNNNNNNNNNNNNNNNNNNNNNNNNNNNNNNNNNNNNNNNNNNNNNNNNNNNNNNNNNNNNNNNNNNNNNNNNNNNNNNNNNNNNNNNNNNNNNNNNNNNNNNNNNNNNNNNNNNNNNNNNNNNNNNNNNNNNNNNNNNNNNNNNNNNNNNNNNNNNNNNNNNNNNNNNNNNNNNNNNNNNNNNNNNNNNNNNNNNNNNNNNNNNNNNNNNNNNNNNNNNNNNNNNNNNNNNNNNNNNNNNNNNNNNNNNNNNNNNNNNNNNNNNNNNNNNNNNNNNNNNNNNNNNNNNNNNNNNNNNNNNNNNNNNNNNNNNNNNNNNNNNNNNNNNNNGAUCCGAUAUUGAAUGUGGAUUAAAAUACUUUGGAACAGUUCAUCCAAUCACAAUUAGCAAAUCCCUAUCAAGCCGCUCCCUAAUAUUCGUUUCAGGCAAAUUACCCCGUUCCCACGUAAACUAUGGACCCGAAUAUCCAAUAUCCAUUAACUGACAUUCCUCAAGCACAUUCCGAAAAUCCAACAUUUCUUUUUCCCUCGGCGUACCACCCACCUUUUCAUAAGAGUACAAAAUUUCGUUAAAGUCGCCACAACAAGCUAAGGCAAAACUUGAUUCUCUCCUUAGACUUUUCAACAACUCCUAUGUAUAUUCCCUAUGACUUGCAUCCGGUGCCCCAUAAAACCCAGUCAAUCUCCACAUUAGACCAACUUCAUCUUCUGAAUUUCCACAUCAAUGUGGUUCUUUGAAUAAUUUCGGAUUUGGACCAUAAGAUUUUUCUUCCAAGCCCAGACACAAACCUCCCCUAGUUCCUUCUGCUUUAACUUUUAAUCCAUUGCAGAAACCACACCUCCUCCAAACCCGCUCCAUCCUAAUCUCAUUCAAUUUGGUCUCCAUACAGAAGACCAGUGGGGAUUAUAAAUCUUUAGCAUGUGUCGAAGUAUCCGCUCAGCCCGUGGACUCCCCAACCCACGGACAUUCGAACUUAUAAGUUUCAUUGCUUCCAAUCAGCUUGCCCCUUGGCAGUCGCCGAUACAGAUUGAAUCAGAACAUUAUCGUGCUCUUUGAAUAAUGUUAAUGAAUUCUUAGAAUUAGAAACGUUAACAUCACCUCCUAUCUAGGCCUCUUUUUUCCGUCUCCACCCCCAGUUGGAAUUUUCUCACUAUUGUGAUCUAUAGUUACAAGAUCCAGGCCACUAAAAGAUUCGCCUAUAAUUUUUUCUAGCAAGAAUCAAUUAUGAGCUAAUUCGACCUUUCUUCACUAAUCACUCGGGUGCUCUUUUGUGAGAAACCUUCAUAAUGUUCCUACCUAACCCUCGAUGUUCAUGGCCUGACAUCCAUUCGAUAGUGCAUUAAAAAGUUCAAAGACUGGGAAGGGUUGAGUUUCGAAUUCAAUUUUGGCUUAAGGUUUCAAACAUAAAGGUUGAUUAAGAAAGGUAAUGUAAAGCUCAAAUUCAGGAAGUAGGGAUAAUGUAAUGUUUAAGGUUGGUCCUUAGGCUCAAGGCUAUACAAACAAUCCUAAGGUCUUUCCCGGAUUAGUCACCUACCAACGAUCUAUUACAUGCAUCUAUUUAAACUAACAAUUAGCAAUUUAAAUUAUUUAUCUACAAGGAUUCAUAUAUUGUAUUCAUCCUACUAUACAUUUUAUAUAUUUUCAUUUCGGUUAUGGCCUCUAAUCUAUUAUACCUAUAACUAAGUGAACUAAUUAAUCUACAAUUAAGAGCAAGAAAUUAUCUAGUAUCAUUCAAAAUUUUACAAGUUUGGCAAUCUUAUAUAUGCCUUUGAUAUGUACAACUACUUAACUUAUUACUCAAUUACAGUCCAAGCACCGUGCAAUAACACAAAUUAAAAAUGAAAGCAAGAAAUAUUUUUGGAUAUUUGAAAUUAAAAAAAAAAGAAAACUUUUUUGAAUUUUUUGAUUUUUUUUUGAAAAAUGCAUAAAAACUAAAAUAAACUCACAAAUAAGCAUAAAACAAGAAAACAUAAACACACAUAAAAACUUAUAUGCACUCAUCCACACUCAGACUACACAUUGUCCCCAAUGCGUUCAAAAGAAAGGAUAGGAGGUUACUGACUUCCCUAGAAUGGAACAUCAGACUAGCUCAGGCGUCAACCUCCUCGUUGAAGCUCCAUAUGUAUUGUAGUCUUUUAGGGUAGCUCGAUGUAUAUAAGAAAACAAACAACAAACAAUUACAACACGUAAAAUAAAAAUGUUCGAAGACAAAAAUUAAAGUGUUUAAAGUUUUAUAAGCCGCAUAAAAUAAAAAAAUACAAAGACAUAUAACUAGCGGAAUCAUCUGAGAUUAACUCUGGUUCCAUGGGUUGUUUCCCCUUACCUCUUGUGCUUGAAGGUUUGUAACCCUUGUUUGAGUUUUUCUCAUGGUUUUUCUAAAUUGAUCCCUCGUCUAGGUGUGGAUACGAAUGUUGUAUUCAUCGUGUUUUGAUCUCUGUUGGGUUUGUCAUUCCUUCCACACCUUUCUUGAACCAUGUAUCUUUUUGGUUUUUUUUUGCCACAUUGGUUUUCCUUCCCCAUGAUUACUAUCACAUUUCUCUACAUAUGUUUUCAUCAUCUUAAUUGUUCAGGAGU